AACUAACUAGGAUUCCCCCAGUAGCGGCGAGCGAACAGGGAAGAGCCCAGCACCGAAUCCCGCGGCCGUUACCGUCCGCCGGGAAAUGUGGUGUUAGGGAGGAUCAUAGUCCCGCUGCCAAGCGGCGCGUCCAAGUUCACCUUGAACGGGGCCACUUACCCAAAAAGGGUGCCAGGCCCGUAGCGACCGCCGCCGGCGACGGGAGGAUCUCUCCUCAGAGUCGGGUUGCUUGAGAGUGCAGCCCUAAGUGGGUGGUAAACUCCAUCUAAGGCUAAAUACAACCACGAGACCGAUAGCGAACAAGUACCGUGAGGGAAAGUUGAAAAGAACUUUGAAGAGAGAGUUCAACAGUACGUGAAACCGUUCAGGGGUAAACCCGAGAAACUCGAAAGAUCGAACGGGGAGAUUCAGCGCGUCCCGUCGGUCGCGAGUGGCGAUCGAGCGACGGUCGGCGUACGCGCCGUCCGCGCCGUCGACGCCGCAGUCUGGCGGACGUGUGCACUUCUCCCCAAGUAGAAAGUCGUGACCCGUUGGGUACCGGUCUACGGCCCGCGGUGGAGACCGCGCGGACGGCCUUCGGCCGCCCGCCGGACCCGCGCAGCCCGGCCGGCCAGCCCGACGGCGCAGACAGUGGUGCGGGGUCGCGGCUUUACGUCGCGUCCGGCGCGCGGCAAGCUCUUCCGGUUCACUGUCCGACUGUCGGACCUGGCGCCGACACCGGACCCGGUCGCCUGCUGUCCGCGUCGUCCUCGGACCCAACCCGAGGGCGUCCCUUUCGGGGGUCGCCCGACACCGGUCUACGAGGCUUUUGCAUCGGGUACUCUCGGGAGCCGUCUUGAAACACGGAUCAAGGAGUCUAGCAUGUGCGCGAGUCAUUGGGACAUAGCGAAACCUAAAGGCGAAAUGAAAGCGAAGGCCGCCCCCGGGGCGCGCCUAGGGAGGAUGCGGGUCGCUGCGGCGUCCCGCCGCACUCCCGGGGCGUCUCUGUAGCUCAUCGCGAGCUGAGGCGCACCCAGAGCGCACACGCCGGGACCCGAAAGAUGGUGAACUAUGCCUGGUCAGGACGAAGUCAGGGGAAA
rnacentral:rRNA from 1 species